GUGUAGCGCGCGUGCGGCCCAGAA
rnacentral:siRNA from 1 species